rnacentral:rRNA from 1 species
UGCGUAGGCGGUUUGGUAAGUCAGAUGUGAAAUUCCUGGGCUCAACCGAGGAACUGCAUUUGAUACUGUCAGACUAGAGUACUGGAGAGGAGACUGGAAUUUACGGUGUAGCAGUGAAAUGCGUAGAUAUCGUAAGGAAGGCCAGUGGCGAAGGCGAGUCUCUGGACAGUAACUGACGCUGAGGCACGAAGGCUAGGGGAGCAAACG